CAAAUUCAGGUUGAGCAUCAAAGGGCAUUUUCAGCUUGGGUUUGGAUUUUAGUGAGAGAAAGAGGUGAGGGAGAUGCUGGUGGUAAAUUGUGGAGCCAUAGGGGUUCUUCCUCGGAGGCCUCCAUGGACGAAUGUGUGUCUGUGUUCGGCUUCCAACAUCGGUACCGACCAAUUGCGUGCCCAACUCGAUCAGCUUCACUCUGAGGCCAACAAUGCUAGAGCCAAAGCAAAUAAUGCACGAUUGAGGCUUAUGAGAUUAUCAGAGGCAGCUGAGAGGCUUCGACGACAGGCAGCUAUUAGCGUUCAAACUGGAAAGGAAAAUGAAGCAAGGGAGCUACUUUUUCAAAAGAAGAAGGUUAUGCAAGCUUUGGAGAAGUCUAAAAGUCGCACUGAGUUGCUUGAUGAGCUUUCAGCAAAGCUUAAUGAGGCAAUAUCUGUAAAGGAAUCCCAGCUAAUUAAUAACGUUUCUUUGGAUCUUGAAGUUGGUGGAGAAGAUGCUUUAAGUCCAGUUAGGAUUGUUUCUCCAAAGGAGGAAACUACUGAAAAUUCAAAUGAAAAUGAGUGUUUUGACUUUAGGCCCUCAGAAGUUGGAAAAGGUCAAGAGGAACAAUUUCUCACUGACAAUCAAGCAAGUGUACACCUUAAUAGUGAGGAUAUACAACAAGGCAAUGUCAAUGUUGGCAUUUGGGAAGAUGACAUGAUUGGAAGUUUGCAACAAAUAUCCUCUUAUCAGAGCUUCCUGGAACAUCUGGACCAACAACUUAGCAAAAUCGAAGGUGAACUUGUAGCUGUCUUGAGGCUCUCAACCUUGAUAUUGGAAAAUGAAGAGAAGCCAAAAAAUUCAAAGUUGCAGCAAACAACGGAUAUCCUUGAGAGCAUCCGUGGCAUUAGAUUGAGACACUGUUUAAAAUGCCCUUAUUGCAGAAUUACAAGUAUCAUGCAGACAAAAGAAGUGAGAUAGAACUUCCAUUCACUAUGCUGAAAUUUUCUUUGGGUGGGUGAGAACUAAGUCUAUGUUGCAAGAGAGUUAUAUUAUGUCAAUGUUUUAGUUACAAGAUCUUAUGGGCCUUUCAUACUUCUAUAAAAUAUUUCCGGUUCUUUGGAGUCAUUAAUCAACUGGCAUGGCUCCUACAUGCUGUUAGAAGACUGGGAAAGAAAUAAUUUGAUGCAAGUAUCUGGAUGAAACUUCCCGGACACAAUAUGUACCAGCCGAUUCUUUCACAGGAAGAUGGCUACCAUGACAGUAAUGUAUAUAUUUCCUUUUUUUGUUUUGUGACAAAAUUGUACAAAUAUGUAAUUGAAUUUGCAACAAUUUUGUGAAGCCCCCCUCAUGCAUGGUUUUACUUGAAUAAAAACCCUGCAAUUUAUGUACUUGUUUUCUAGCAUGUUUUCAAGGAUGAAUGAAGAUUAUUGUAUUUUAUUACC